CUUUUGGAUAAUGGGGGAAACCCUGAUCCAGCCAUCCCGCGUGUAUGAUGAAGGCAUUCGGGUUGUAAAGUACUUCUGGCAGCGCAGAAAAGGUACCCCCUAAUACGGGAUACUGCUGACGGGAUCUGCAGAAUAAGCACCGGCUAACUACGUCCCAGCAGCCGCGGUAAUACGUAGGGUGCAAGGGUUAAUCGGAAUUACUGGGCGUAAAGCGUGUGUAGGCGGUUCGGAAAGAAAGAUGUGAAAUCCCAGGGCUCAACCUUGGAACUGCAUUUUAAACUGCCGGGCUAGAGUAUGUAAGAGGGGAGUAGAAUUCCACGUGUAGCAGUGAAAUGCGUAGAUAUGUGGAGGAAUACCGAUGGCGAAGGCAGCCCCCUGGGAUAAUACUGACGCUCAGACACGAAAGCGUGGGGAGCAAACAGG
rnacentral:rRNA from 1 species